AUGGCUAUAAAGAGGAAGAACAAACAUUUGGUCCGAGCUCUUAUAGAGAAGGGAGCAAAUGUUAAUGAAAACCGUGGUGAUAUACCGACACUUUUUUCGGAGGGAGCUGUAGACAUUAAAACUAGUCCGAAAGAAGAUUGGACCGCGUUACACGAAGCUGCUUUUGGAGGGAGUGAAACGAUGGUAGAAUUGUUGUUGGAUGGGGGAGCAAACAUCGAUGCGCAAGCAACUGAUGUUACAGGAUUCGGUAGCGUGACUCCACUUCUUGUUGCGUUGAAAGAGAGACAAUGGCACGCAGCUAUUGUACUUAUAAAGAGAGGUGCCAGUCUAGAGCCCGUGAACAUAGGUCGGAACGCGUUAUUUUACGCCGUCGAGGAAAGUUGCUCAGAAAUAGUGGAUUUAAUCAUAGACCGUGGUUUAGACGUUAAUGAUACUUAUAACAAGUACUCCUUGCACCUAGCUCUCCGCAAACCCUUCAUUCCCCUAAAUAUAGCGAUCAUAAGAAAAUUUUUAACCCAUGGGUUUACGAUAAGCCCUGCAGAUGCUAGUAUGCCUGGCCUGCUGAUGUGUGCCAUCUUAGAAAAUUGCACAGAUAUCGCUCAAAAGAUUCUUGAAGCUGGUGCCUAUCCAAAUCAGACCCUUUCAAUUGAGGAGAAGAGUUUGUACCCAGUGAUCUUCAAUGCCUGCAAGGAGUUUUUAGAUAAGAAUGCAGCCGGUCAAUCUGGAGGUUCUGCUUUAAUCACACCAAUGACAGUUGCUGUUGUAAGCCAGAACGUAGACGCAGCGAAAUUACUCUUAGAUCAUAAUGUCUCCGUGUAUGGCCGCGCAGACUUUCUACGUUGUGCUUUGGAAGCCCACCACCACGAUAUGAUAAAUCUUCUGGUAGAAAAUGGUUGUCCCGUCAGUCGUUGCGAUGGUAAAUCGCCAAUGGGUCUUGUAUUCCGUAAUGCGUGCGAGACUUGCGUUGACGUACUAAUGAAGCACGGCGCUCCUUUCGAAUACAGACGAAUUAACCUGGACCUUGUCUACCUUACGGACUACGAAACGGAUUAUACUCCAGUUACAUUUUUUGCAGCGUACCUUCACCGUGGCUUCACGAAGCCAACCCCUCGCGGUGAGAAAUCCGUGGCCGUAUUGUUGCAGAACUUUGUUGAUGAAUUGUAUGAUGGUGACAGGCACGGUGAAUUAGGAGAUGGCGACGAUAGCGAUUUUUCAUUUGAAAGUGAAAGAGUUGAAGUUAGCCUAGGCAAAAUUUCAGCUCGUCAUCUUGUAAAAUUAGCAGCAUGUGAUAGAGCAACAGUAGUAAUACCUGACGAGGUGAGAAGGCGCUUUAAGGUAAAAAAUUUUGAAAGGAUCUGCAGGACGGAACUGGAACGCAUGAGAGGCAAAACGAUCGGUGAAACCGGUGUGUCUGUUCUAGAAUUCCUAAUGAAAAGCACAACCUCUCUUGCUGCUCGCCUGAAAAACAGAACAAUCCGAGAAGUUAUGAAUGACUCGAGCAUCUUGGAUGAUCUUCCUAACUAUAAGAAAAUCGUCAAGCACCGAGUUCGUCAGGCGACCUGGCGUUCAGAAUUCAUUGCAAGAGGAGUCGAAGGAUUAAAUAAACUAUUCAUUCGGUUGCCCAGACUGCCUUAUGAGUGGAGGAAGAUAUCGUCCAUCAUCUGA
rnacentral:lncRNA from 1 species